UACGGGGGGGAGCAAGCGUUGUUCGGAUUUACUGGGCGUAAAGGGCGCGUAGGCGGCCAGCACAAGUCAGUUGUGAAAUCUCCGAGCUUAACUCGGAAAGGUCAACUGAUACUGUGCGGCUAGAGUGCGGAAGGGGCAACUGGAAUUCCUGGUGUAGCGGUGAAAUGCGCAGAUAUCAGGAAGAACACCCGUGGCGAAGGCGGUGCUCUGGGCCGGAACUGACGCUGAGGAGCGAAAGCGUGGGGAGCGAACAGG
rnacentral:rRNA from 1 species